GCACCUGAAAAGCUCCUAGACUGGGUGGGAGUUCAGAUAAAGCAAAGCUACAUCAUGGAUUAAAUCAUUAAUUUCUGCAGUAGUGGCUGUUGACCACCUGGCCUCUCCACAGCUCUCUCUGAUUCAGAGAUCACAAUGACUCAUCACAAGAAUCCUUCAGCACAGAGUUGAUCAUCAGGAGACCAUUUACAUGCAACUUGUUUCAGAAGUCCAUCUGGGGCUCCAGAAUCCAC